rnacentral:lncRNA from 1 species
GAAGGUUUUUUAUUCACUAGAUAAACAAUAUUCCCUUUUUGUUUCUAUCCUAUUAACACCAAUGAAAAAUCUCAAAAUUCAGCAUUACUGUAGAUGUACAUGCAGCAAGAAAAUUAUUCCAUGCCUUGCACAGGACCUUAUAAAGGGAAAUACUGUGUCUAUCAAGCUUAUCUGUUCAUCUGGAUUCCCAGGACCAAAAGACCAACAGCCUGCACAGAGACAUCCUGCUACAGAUCAGUGACUGUACUCUGCAGUCAGGUUAAUGAAGAAUGAGCUGGCUGAAAGAUGAACAUGAUUAUGUGUAAGACAACAGAUCUUAUGGAAGCAGAAGACUGUAUGGGGGACCUACACAGUGACCAACAGCAGACUAGCAGCAGAACACUGAACAAAAGGAAAACCAGACUUGUCUGUUACAUAUGUUUUCUCACAAGAAAGAGCACACGCGGGGAUUCAGUCCCCAUGUGACUUCAGGAGAAGGCAGAGGAGUUACAAAGAAGGGAUUAACUGGCAAUACAUUUGCAAUUAAGUGCUCUGCCAUCCUUGCUCUCUUUUCAGCAGCUUUACAUUUCCUUCUGUUGACGUUAUACCCCCAAGAUACCCAAAGCAGGUGGGGUGGUCGGGAACGAAGAGUCUCAUAAGCAAACGCUAAAGAGCUCCUAAUUCAAGAUGGACACUAAAACUGCUGAAAAUUUUGUAACAAAUUGUCAACUUUUUGUCCCCCUUCCAAAAGCUCCCAGAGACUCUUGCUCUUGGUGUUGGGAUCUCCUUUCUAACACAGAUAUUGUUUAAAUAUGCAAUGUUAUUUUACUUUAGUUCUCAAAUGAGUCUUUAUUUCAUCCAGAUGUUACUGCUCAUAUCCCUGUCUUCGUUUAGAGCAACACUUUGUAGAAUACCUAAUCUUUAAGUCACUUUUACUUUAAUUCACCACUAUAUUUUUAAACGACUGUGUUUGACAUAAACCACUAGCUGGUUUCACAACUGCAGCGUCUCCACCUUUGGCAAACUCUUCACUUAUUUAUUCCCUCCUCUUUUAAUGGAGUUGCUGGAACCACUUAAAAUCCAUUAAUACACUACAAAUUUCAAGCACAAAUCAUAUUUGUGUGAACUAGUGCAGUUGGAAAUGCUGAAUAACUUCUACUUCAUAUGAAAUCAAGUCCAUUGUAAAUGUGUAAUUGCGAUCCUCAAACAGCUUAAAGAUUUUCUGCAAAUACUCCUUAAACACCAUGAAACCAUUAGAAAUGGACAGGACUUCAUAGCUCCUGCAAACACAUCUUUUCCUUGGUCUUACGUCCCAGCAAUAUUCAGCUCAAUCUGAGUCUGAAAGUGAGGAAUGUGAAGAGUCUCUUCCUGUGAAAGAAGUGGCACUUAGCACCAAGGUAUUUUCAUCCUGUCAACACUGGCCCUGUGGUUAGCUGCUGAAGGGUUGGAGGAGAGUCUCCUCUAAAGAAAAAAAUAAACAAAGAAAAACCAUGUAUGUCACCACAGCAGAAGAUACUGCAUUUGGAUGUGUGAGCGAGCAGUGGAUCCUUUGGGAAGUGCCAACAGGGCCUCGUAAUGGCCAUGCCUCCAGAAAGCUGCUGUGGAGAGUCAAAACAAUUAAAAAGUACUUCACCCCCAUGCUCCCUGCAGGAAUUCAGAUGCUCAAGUCACUCUGUCCUUUCUGGAACACAUUAGUUUCACAACAGGUGAUGACAGCAGCCUGAGAGACAGCAAUAGGUGCCAGUGUGAGCCUGCAGAGAAAUCAGAGCAUCCCUGUAAACCAGGAAUUCCCCUACCCACCCUCCAUUUUGUUCAGUGUUUCCUGAUGACCACAGAGGCCAGAAGCUCUGCUCAUGCAGGCAGCAACGUCACCUAUACGUGUUCAGAAGAUGUAGAUCCCACAGUCAGAAAAGCAGCUCAGCCUGAAGAUCUGAGAUACAUCUCUAGGACUGUACAUUUCUUCUUAUAAUUUCUGGUGAUGUUCCCAGUUUUUCUGAUGGAAACUUCAUCAAAUCCACCCUUGUGGGAUCAUCUUGAUGUCAAAGGUGUUAAAGCAAUGCAGCGUUGGACCUGAGUUAUUCUGCAUACUCAUGGAAUGUAUUAGUUCCCAGGCAUGCAGCUAGGUUAGAAUCUUAAUCAUAAAAUAUCUAAAACCAAUCAAUUGGCUUAUCUUUAGUCCAUUAAAACAAGCAAAACUGGACAUCUACAAAAACACACAGCCUUUCUACAGUGUUUCCAAGUCACGCUAUGGUAAUCAGUAGCUGUGAAAGUGAAGUCCCUACACACACAUACGGGAACAUAUCAUAGAACCAUAAUAUGGCUUGGAUUGGAAC